rnacentral:rRNA from 1 species
CUACGGGUGGCACCAGUGGGGAAUAUUGCACAAUGGGGGGAACCCUGAUGCAGCAACGCCGCGUGGAGGAUGACGCAUUUCGGUGUGUAAACUCCUUUUAUAUGUCAAGAAAAUGACGGUAGCAUAUGAAUAAGCACCGGCUAACUCCGUGCCAGCAGCCGCGGUAAUACGGAGGGUGCAAGCGUUACUCGGAAUCACUGGGCGUAAAGGACGCGUAGGCGGGUUGGAAAGUCAGGUGUGAAAUCCUACAGCUUAACUGUAGAACUGCACUUGAAACUUCUAAUCUAGAGUAUGGGAGGGGGAGACGGAAUUAGUGGUGUAGGGGUAAAAUCCGUAGAUAUCACUAGGAAUACCUAAAGCGAAGGCGAUCUCCUGGAACAUUACUGACGCUAAGGCGUGAAAGCGUGGGGAGCAAACAGGAUUAGAUACCCCUGUAGUC